rnacentral:snoRNA from 15 species
AAUGAAGGAUGACAAAAUGUUUCGGUCCCAAAUGAUCGUACUGAUUAUACCGUUAUGUUUGGUUCUGACAUU